rnacentral:lncRNA from 1 species
GGAACUAAACGCAUAACAUGAUGAUCAAUUCCAAACAACUCAAAUCAAAGACUAAAUUACUGAAAUUGAAGCAAUUGAAUCUGCAAAUUGAAGGAUGAUCGAUGGAAUAACCUCAGCGAGAGUGAUGUAGGGAUGACGAAUUUUGAGAAGCCAGUUUUUUCGAAGCAUGGCCUUGAGUUGUCUCCAUGAGCUGCUACUAGACAUGUUCUUGUUCUUGAUUCGAGAGAAGAUGAAGGAAGACGUUUGGAAGUUGGUGUUGACGGAGGAGUAGCGUCUCCACAUACACCCCCCUCCAUCGUCACGACGUUCCGUCAAAGUUAUUCUUCUUUCCCUCUUUUUUACUUUUCUUUUUUAUUACACGUGUACGUUUGUAAAGUGACACACCAGAUUUUAUACGGAUAGGGUUACGACCCAUGUAUUAUUUAUAUGGGUUUGAUGAUUGUAAAUAAGUUUUUAACAAACUUUGAAAAACUUAUUUAUGGAGAUGCCACAAUGAAAU